GAGGUAGAUCGGUCUGAGGUGUAAGCACAGCAAUGUGUUCAGCUGACAGAUACGAAUCGGUCGAGGACUUCUCCU
rnacentral:rRNA from 1 species